GGCAGCACAAUGGGUCCCCCAGCUACGGACAUCUCAGCACACACUGGAAAGACAAUGGAGAAAACGAUUAACUCCAAGAGUCCUCUAUCCUGUCUCCAGAGAAAUGGAUGAGGUGGGAUGAGGCGUGGGGCAACACCUCCAGGGGGCACCUGCUGGAAGCCACCCCCCACCACUGCUCCCAACAGAGCCCCAGGAAUGUACCGUCACCGCUUGGCUCGGGAGGAGAGGGGAUAUCCUUAACAUCACUUCUUAAGGGCCAGGCAGCAUCAGCACAAAAACAGGAUCCAAGCUGCUUGAGAAUUGCCUUGAUAACAAUGACUUAGGAGACAGCACUGGAUGGGGUGAACGCCAGCUCCCUGCUCCUGAACAGCCCUAAGGUAUGGAUUUAUGGUAGGGAAUGAACAGCCAGAAAGAG
ensembl:lncRNA